GUGCUCACUUUGGCAGCACAUAUACUAAAACUGGAACAAUACAGAUAAGACUAGCAUGGCCCCUGUGCAAGGAUGACAUGUAAAAUCAUGAAGCAUUCCAUAUUUAU